rnacentral:lncRNA from 1 species
UUUCCCCCGAAAACUGGACUCACCCUGAUAGGUUCCCGCUGCUGUUCGAAAGGCUGCUGCCAGUUGUUCUGCUAUCUCUUCGAUAAGGGGUGUCAGUCUACGUCGUAGCCUCGCCUCCUGUGAUUCGUGUAUCCAUCGCAGAGAUCCUGCCCUACCCGCCAGAAAAACUGUUCCAGCGCGUCCGUCAGACCGAUCACCAUAAGUUCUUUGCGCC